AUUGCCCUUUCCAGUGCCCUAUUAAGGCUGAUGCAGUGCCUUAAGAGGCUAACACAGGAGGGUAAAGAAAGUCUCCAUAAAACCCAGAGAAGAGAUUUUAGAACUCCUCUCUGGAUCCUGUCUGGAGUCACAACU
ensembl:snoRNA